CGGCGCGGGCGGAGGCGCGGCGCGGCCUGACGUAACCGGGCGCUCGGCCCCGCCGAACGCGGCUGACGCUGCGCGGCCAGAGAGCAGGCCCCGCCGCCGCCUGGGCUUGGAACGCAGCGCGCGCGGCCAUGGCCUCCGGCGCCGCAGCUAAGCGGGCGCAGGGCGAGCGGGCGGCGGGACGGCAGCCCCGGCCCCGGCCCCGGCCCCAGCGCGGGGCUGACCGUGUGCCCCCUCGUCUCGUCCCACAGAGGCGGACCCUCGACAGAGGCUGCUGCGCACCGUCAAGAAGGAGGUACCGUAAGUUCCCGGUGAGGAAUCCGAGUUUUCAAGGACUGGGUAGAAUCGACGGAGGAGAUAAGAAUGCUGAGGAAGACUCUAUAACCAGGCUUUCUGACAAACCUGGUCCUGGAGAUUCAUGGCCUACAUCAGCUAGCCAAGACGUAGAUUUCGGUACCAAGGAAGGAACAGCAAAGUCAGCAAUGGAAGCAAAGGAAGAUGGUGUUGGUAUUAUUGAAAAUGUGCCACCAGAGCAAACAGUUAAUGACAGUGUGACUUCUGCUGGUGGAGUGCAUAAAAAUUGCAGAAGUGAUAUGAUGUCAGCAUUAGAAUUAGGAGAAGAGGAAGAUGUAGAAUCACCUUCUCUUCCUGAGUUGCAAGAAGCACAGGAUCGACAUGCAGAGGCCAUAAGACAUGCUGAGGAGAUGAAAGAUCAUAUGCAAAAGCUAAAAGUUCAACAUGCCAGAUGGGAAGAAACCAUUAAACAGCAAGUGGCCCAAAUUCAAGAUCUUCAGAGCAACUUGUUAAGGAUAAGUUUGAGGAACUUCAGCGGGGGGCUGGAUUGCAGGCACUGUCGCUGAAGGGGAAAAGGGUUCUUGGAGCCAUUUUUCAAGACCAGGUGGUGAAUACCCGACAGUACUUGGAACAUGUGAAAGACUCCACAACAGGAAUGCAAGGUAGAGUGGUGAAGCUAUUCACCAACCAUUUCCGAGUGACCUCUCGCCCUCAACUCCUCACGUAUAAGUACAACAUUGAUUAUAUGCCAGAGGUUGAAGAUGGAAAAGUUCGUACAGAUUUGCUCUGCCAGCAUAAACAUGUAAUUGGAGAGUGUCCCACAUUAGAUGGGAACUCUUUAUUACUGCCUCAUAAACUACAAAAGCAGGAAUUUUGAAGAUGAUGGAUUUGAAGCAAGUUGGUCGCAACUAUUACAACGAGAAUGAGGCCACGGAGUUCCUCAAUCGUAAGUACACAGUGGAAAGCCUCACAUUCUACAGACCUGACCAUAGAAGCAUUUGAGAAAGUGACUCUCAUUUGAAGCAGUAGGAUUUAUAAGUGAUGGUCUUUUCAGUGGUACCCACUGGCCAUGAACGAUUCAGUUAGAAUUUCAUGUAAAUUUGAAACGAAGUGAAAAGAUUCACUCUUACAGUCCUGGAAUGAUAAGCAUAAACCUUGAGGUAUUCGGUAGUUAUAUAAACCUCAUAAGAAGUCUAAAUCUUCUCAAAUUUGGAUAAUAAAUUUCUCUUAAAUACUUUCAAUCAUAGUAAUUAUAGCUACAUGUAUGUAUGUAUGUAUGUAUGUAUAUAUAUUGUGUAUAUGUUUAUACUUUAUACACCUAUAUCCUAUAUAUUCUCACAUACAUACAUACAUACGCAUGUGUGUGGCUAUAGGUGUGUGAGCCUGUGGGUGGUAACAAUAUGGUUUAACAAAGAGAGUGUAAGAGUUAUAACUAGCCCAUCAGGUAAAUCUCUAUUGGAAAGGUCCUUCAAAAGAUCAGUUCUUACUGGAAAUAAGAAAUUGAAACUGCUUGACUCCUAAGCACCAAUUUUAGACCCCAAGUUCCAACCCUGGGACGCUUGCUUCCUUGUUCAGAGCUUGGACUUUGACCCUUACGUCUAAUGUCUUCUGUUUGCAGGCUGGUAAUCUGGCCUGGAUAUAGUGCUUCUAUUCUUGAGUAUGAAACCAGCAUUACCCUCUGUGCUGAUGUGAACCACAAACUGCUCCGAAUGCAAACUGCUUGAUCUAAUAAUGCAUGUUGAUAACAAAUCCCAAAGGAAAGAUGCUAUGGAAAUUUUAAAGAAUUAGUUGGAUCAAUUGUUUUUACAUCUGUGUUCAUUAACUUUUUUAAUGUUUAUUCUUUUUUUUGAGAGAAGCAGAGAG